rnacentral:rRNA from 1 species
GCUUGUCUCAAAGAUUAAGCCAUGCAUGUCUCAGCAUAAGCUUCAACACGGUGAAACUGCAAAUGGCUCAUUAAAGCAGUUACAAUUUAUUUGAUGGUCACUGUUACAUGGAUAACUGUGGUAAUUCUAGAGCUAAUACAUGCAUCAAAACCUGACUCUUGGGAAGGGUUGUGUUUAUUAGAUUAAAAACCAAUGCCCUUCGGGGCUCUCUGGUGAUUCAUAAUAACUUCUCGAAUCGCACGGCCUUGCGCCGGCGAUGGUUCAUUCAAAUUUCUGCCCUAUCAACUUUCGACGGCUGGGUCUUGGCCAGCCGUGGUGACAACGGGUAACGGAGGGUUAGGGCUCGACCCCGGAGAAGGAGCCUGAGAAACGGCUACUACAUCCAAGGAAGGCAGCAGG